UCAACGGAAGAAAGAACUAACAAGGAUUCCCUUAGUAACUGCGAGUGAACAGGGAUAAGCCCAGCACCGAAGCCUGUGGCCAGUUGGUCACUAGGCAAUGUGGUGUUCAGGUUGUUCCGCAAAGGUACUGCUCCACCCUAAGUCCAACAAUGAGUACGGUAGUACGGACAUGGCCCACAGAGGGUGAAAGGCCCGUGGGGGUGGAGAUCAGGUAGGCCAGUGCCUUUCUGGAUAGACCUUGGAGUCGGGUUGUUUGGGAAUGCAGCCCAAAGUGGGUGGUAAACUCCAUCCAAGGCUAAAUACAAGCACGAGUCCGAUAGCGAACAAGUACCGUGAGGGAAAGUUGAAAAGUACUUUGAAGAGAGAGUAAACAGUGCGUGAAACCGGUCAGAGGUAAACGGGUGGAGUUGAACUGCAAGCUCUGAGAAUUCAACUGAUGAGUGUGUCUUGAGCUUGGGAUGUUGGGCCCUGGAGUCUGCGUAGCAGCAGGCCUCCGCCCUUCGGGGUGGGGGUGCGCGGUGCACUUACCAAGUGUUGCGCGCUCUGGGAGUUCAUCAAACCACUUGUCAGUGCACUUUUUCAGAGUAGUCACCACGACCGGCACCGCCGUCUGGCUGUUAUGGUUAAACCGUUCUUGCAUUGUCUACGUGACUCUGCUUGAUCGGGAUGGCAGGUAACUCGUGACUUGCUUGUGGUUUUCUGCAGGCAUUCGGUCAUUGAGUGUAAUCAGCUGACCAUAUCAGUUCUGUACGGUGUGUCGGAGACGGCGGCUUUUGUGUGUGCUUGCGUGCCUGUCUGGCUGACGUAUUCGAGUUUGGUUAUCAAGUUGUCUGUUUAUACAGUCCUGGCAAUGACUCGAGUUCGUUCGGUUGGCGGUUGCGUAGGUGACACAGCUCAUGGGCCAAUAGUCUGUGGUGUAGUGGUAGACUAUCCACCUGACCCGUCUUGAAACACGGACCAAGGAGAAUAACAUGCGCGCAAGUCAUUGGGCGUAACGAAACCCAAAGGCGAAGUGAAAGUAAAGGUGUGGCUUGUCCAUACUGAGGUGAGAUCCUGUCGUUUCACACGUUUGGUGUCACCAAGCCUCGAUCGGCAGGCGCAUCACCGGCCCGUCUUAUGACAAUUGUUUAUAGCAUUAAUCAGUCGAGGCGGAGCAUGAGCGUGCAUGUUGUGACCCGAAAGAUGGUGAACUAUACUUGUGCAGGUUGAAGCCAGAGGAAACUCUGGUGGAGGACCGAAGCGGUUCUGACGUGCAAAUCGAUCGCCAGACGUGAGUAUAGGGGCGAAAGACUAAUCGAACCAUCCUGAGUCCCU
rnacentral:rRNA from 1 species